ACACUGAUGGUGAAACGGUAUCAUGCUUGCCUUCCAUAGUUAUUGCUUCGGUAAGCAAGCGGCACGGGUUCGACUCCCGUUCAGUGUA